GGGUGAUUCCGGCAUGGUGUAUGUCAAUCUCCCAGACCGCGUCUGCUCUUCCCGUCUCUGCGUGCAGGGCAGGAGGAUCGACGUGGAUUAUUCUGCUCUGCAACAGAUAUGCGAUAUCAAAUGCCCUCCCAGGAGGAAGCCCAAGGGGAAGGGCAGGAAGUGUGCCAGACACAGGUAGGGGGACACCCGGCCCGGAGGGAGAGAAUGUCUGUGGGCCGAGGAG